GGGGAAGUGGUGGAAUGGCAGACACGCAUGCUUCAGGUGCAUGUGCUCGAAAGGGCGUGAGGGUUCAAAUCCCUUCUUCCCCA
rnacentral:tRNA from 1 species